rnacentral:rRNA from 1 species
UACGUAGGGGGCAAGCGUUGUCCGGAAUCAUUGGGCGUAAAGGGCUCGUAGGCGGUUUGUCGCGUCGGGAGUGAAAACGCCGGGCUUAACCCGGUGCUUGCUUUCGAUACGGGCAGACUGGAGGUAUGCAGGGGAGAACGGAAUUCCUGGUGUAGCGGUGAAAUGCGCAGAUAUCAGGAGGAACACCGGUGGCGAAGGCGGGUCUCUGGGCCGAUACUGACGCUGAGGAGCGAAAGCGUGGGGAGCGAACAGG